GAUGAACGCUGGCGGCGUGCCUAAUACAUGCAAGUCGAGCGAACGGACGAGAAGCUUGCUUCUCUGAUGUUAGCGGCGGACGGGUGAGUAACACGUGGAUAACCUACCUAUAAGACUGGGAUAAUUUCGGGAAACCGGAGCUAAUACCGGAUAAUAUUUUGAACCGCAUGGUUCAAAAGUGAAAGACGGUCUUGCUGUCACUUAUAGAUGGAUCCGCGCUGCAUUAGCUAGUUGGUAAGGUAACGGCUUACCAAGGCAACGAUGCAUAGCCGACCUGAGAGGGUGAUCGGCCACACUGGAACUGAGACACGGUCCAGACUCCUACGGGAGGCAGCAGUAGGGAAUCUUCCGCAAUGGGGGAAAGCCUGACGGAGCAACGCCGCGUGAGUGAUGAAGGUCUUCGGAUCGUAAAACUCUGUUAUUAGGGAAGAACAUAUGUGUAAGUAACUGUGCACAUCUUGACGGUACCUAAUCAGAAAGCCACGGCUAACUACGUG
rnacentral:rRNA from 1 species